rnacentral:rRNA from 1 species
AUGAACGCUAGCGACAGGCCUAACACAUGCAAGUCGAGGGGCAGCGGGGAGGUAGCAAUACCUUUGCCGGCGACCGGCGCACGGGUGAGUAACACGUAUGCAAUCCACCUGUAACAGGGGGAUAACCCGGAGAAAUCCGGACUAAUACCCCAUAAUAUGGGCGCUCCGCAUGGAGGGUCCAUUAAAGAGAGCAAUCUUGGUUACAGACGAGCAUGCGCUCCAUUAGCCAGUUGGCGGGGUAACGGCCCACCAAGGCGACGAUGGAUAGGGGUUCUGAGAGGAAGGUCCCCCACAUUGGAACUGAGACACGGUCCAAACUCCUACGGGAGGCAGCAGUGAGGAAUAUUGGUCAAUGGUCGGCAGACUGAACCAGCCAAGUCGCGUGAGGGAAGACGGCCCUACGGGUUGUAAACCUCUUUUGUCGGAGAGUAAAGUGCGCUACGUGUAGCGUAUUGCAAGUAUCCGAAGAAAAAGCAUCGGCUAACUCCGUGCCAGCAGCCGCGGUAAUACGGAGGAUGCGAGCGUUAUCCGGAUUUAUUGGGUUUAAAGGGUGCGUAGGCGGCACGCCAAGUCAGCGGUGAAAUUUCCGGGCUCAACCCGGACUGUGCCGUUGAAACUGGCGAGCUAGAGUGCACAAGAGGCAGGCGGAAUGCGUGGUGUAGCGGUGAAAUGCAUAGAUAUCACGCAGAACCCCGAUUGCGAAGGCAGCCUGCUAGGGUGCGACAGACGCUGAGGCACGAAAGCGUGGGUAUCGAACAGGAUUAGAUACCCUGGUAGUCCACGCCGUAAACGAUGACUACUAGGUGUCGGGCAGCAAAGCUGUUCGGUGCCGCAGCAAACGCAAUAAGUAGUCCACCUGGGGAGUACGUUCGCAAGAAUGAAACUCAAAGGAAUUGACGGGGGCCCGCACAAGCAGCGGAGCAUGUGGUUUAAUUCGAAGCAACGCGAAGAACCUUACCAGGUCUUGACAUCCUUUGACCACUCUAGAGAUAGAGCUUUCACUUCGGGGACAAAGUGACAGGUGGUGCAUGGUUGUCGUCAGCUCGUGCCGUGAGGUGUCGGCUUAAGUGCCAUAACGAGCGCAACCCCUAUGGACAGUUACUAACGGGUGAAGCCGAGGACUCUGUCUAGACUGCCGGCGCAAGCCGCGAGGAAGGUGGGGAUGACGUCAAAUCAGCACGGCCCUUACGUCCGGGGCGACACACGUGUUACAAUGGCAGGUACAGAAGGCAGCCAGUCAGCAAUGACGCGCGAAUCCCGAAAACCUGUCUCAGUUCGGAUUGGAGUCUGCAACCCGACUCCAUGAAGCUGGAUUCGCUAGUAAUCGCGCAUCAGCCAUGGCGCGGUGAAUACGUUCCCGGGCCUUGUACACACCGCCCGUCAAGCCAUGGAAGCCGGGAGUACCUGAAGCAUGCAACCGCAAGGAGCGUACGAAGGUAAUACCGGUAACUGGGGCU